GACAGAGGGGGCAAGCGUUGUUCGGAAUUACUGGGCGUAAAGCGCGCGUAGGCGGACCUGCAAGUCGGGGGUGAAAGCCCGAGGCUCAACCUCGGAACUGCCUUCGAUACUGCGGGUCUCGAGUCCGGGAGAGGUGAGUGGAAUUCCUAGUGUAGAGGUGAAAUUCGUAGAUAUUAGGAAGAACACCAGUGGCGAAGGCGGCUCACUGGCCCGGUACUGACGCUGAGGCGCGAAAGCGUGGGGAGCAAACAGG
rnacentral:rRNA from 1 species